GAUAUGAGCUUUGGGAGAACAGGGUCUUUGAGCAGUGAAGACUGGAAAGCUAAGAAAGACCUCACAUUAUGUUUUGUCUCAACAUUUUUAAGGUCCAGUAGAAUUGGAUCACAGUGUUUCUAACUGGAGAGGAAAAAGAAGUUUGUUUAUUUGUUCAUGAAGUGUGAGAGAGUAGAAAGGCAAAGAUGAACUACCAUCUGUCUUUGCCCUUGGAUGGAUCUACUUCCUCUCUUUCACUUUUUUGAGACAAGUCAGAGAGAGAAAGUUGUCUUGCUCACACUGUGUGGCAUUCGGGAAGAAAUUUGGCCUUGAGAGCCAGGAAAACCUCUGCUCUAGUUUCUACCUCUAUAUAAUGGGGAAGGAGGCACCAUUGUUUCUCUUCUACAGUGUUACUCAGAAGGUCACUGAACAUCAUAGAAGGCAAGUGGGUUGUAGACAGCAAAGUACCAUGAAAAUCAUAGUUAAUUUCUGAUUUGCAUCUUAGGUCUGCGGUACCUUGAGGGCUAGUGACAAAGGACAACCAUUCAUGUAGAAGAGAUGUCUCUAAAUUGAGACGUCUCUGUUUUAUUUGUGAAACAUUCUCACUUUCUGCCAUAAACAUACCCUUCUGUUUGAUGCUCACUGAAAAUGCACAUAAUUUGAUCUUUUUCAUAGAUUGACAGUCUUUUCUUUUUUGAUGAGCUGAAAAAUAUUGGAAGUAGC
rnacentral:lncRNA from 1 species